rnacentral:lncRNA from 1 species
CAUGCAUGAAGUAUUAAAUAUAGACAAAAAUAAAAACUAAUUGCACAAUUUGGUCGGAAUUGAUGAGACGAAUCUUUUGAGUCUAAUUAAUACAUGAUUGGAUAAUAUUUGUCAAAUACAAACGAAAGUAGUACUAUUCCUAUUUUGCAAAUAGACGAAAAUAAAAACUAAUUGCACUGUUUACCUGUAAUUUGUAAGAUGAAUCUUUUGAGCCUAAUUAUUUCAUAAUUGGACAAUGUUUGUCAAAUAAAAAUGAAAGUGCUACAGUAGCCAAAAACUGCAAUUUUUGCGAACUAAACAAGGCCUG